UACGAAGGGGGCUAGCGUUGUUCGGAUUCAUUGGGCGUAAAGGGUGCGUAGGUGGUGAUGCAAGUCUGGUGUGAAAUCUCGGAGCUCAACUCCGAAAUUGCACCGGAUACUGCGUGACUCGAGGACUGUAGAGGAGAUCGGAAUUCACGGUGUAGCAGUGAAAUGCGUAGAUAUCGUGAGGAAGACCAGUUGCGAAGGCGGAUCUCUGGGCAGUUCCUGACACUGAGGCACGAAGGCCAGGGGAGCAAACGGG
rnacentral:rRNA from 1 species